ACGAACGCUGGCGGCGUGCCUAAUACAUGCAAGUAGAACGCUGAAGAGAGGAGCUUGCUCUUCUUGGAUGAGUUGCGAACGGGUGAGUAACGCGUAGGUAACCUGCCUUGUAGCGGGGGAUAACUAUUGGAAACGAUAGCUAAUACCGCAUAACAAUGGAUGACACAUGUCAUUUAUUUGAAAGGGGCAAUUGUUCCACUACAAGAUGGACCUGCGUUGUAUUAGCUAGUAGGUGAGGUAAUGGCUCACCUAGGCGACGAUACAUAGCCGACCUGAGAGGGUGAUCGGCCACACUGGGACUGAGACACGGCCCAGACUCCUACGGGAGGCAGCAGUAGGGAAUCUUCGGCAAUGGGGGCAACCCUGACCGAGCAACGCCGCGUGAGUGAAGAAGGUUUUCGGAUCGUAAAGCUCUGUUGUAAGUCAAGAACGGGUGUGAGAGUGGAAAGUUCACACUGUGACGGUAGCUUACCAGAAAGGGACGGCUAACUACGUGCCAGCAGCCGCGGUAAUACGUAGGUCCCGAGCGUUGUCCGGAUUUAUUGGGCGUAAAGCGAGCGCAGGCGGUUUGAUAAGUCUGAAGUUAAAGGCUGUGGCUCAACCAUAGUUCGCUUUGGAAACUGUCAAACUUGAGUGCAGAAGGGGAGAGUGGAAUUCCAUGUGUAGCGGUGAAAUGCGUAGAUAUAUGGAGGAACACCGGUGGCGAAAGCGGCUCUCUGGUCUGUAACUGACGCUGAGGCUCGAAAGCGUGGGGAGCGAACAGGAUUAGAUACCCUGGUAGUCCACGCCGUAAACGAUGAGUGCUAGGUGUUGGAUCCUUUCCGGGAUUCAGUGCCGCAGCUAACGCAUUAAGCACUCCGCCUGGGGAGUACGACCGUAAGGGUGAAACGCAAAGGAAUUGACGGGGGCCCGCACAAGCGGUGGAGCAUGUGGUUUAAUUCGAAGCAACGCGAAGAACCUUACCAGGUCUUGACAUCCCGAUGCUAUUUCUAGAGAUAGAAAGUUACUUCGGUACAUCGGUGACAGGUGGUGCAUGGUUGUCGUCAGCUCGUGUCGUGAGAUGUUGGGUUAAGUCCCGCAACGAGCGCAACCCCUAUUGUUAGUUGCCAUCAUUCAGUUGGGCACUCUAGCGAGACUGCCGGUAAUAAACCGGAGGAAGGUGGGGAUGACGUCAAAUCAUCAUGCCCCUUAUGACCUGGGCUACACACGUGCUACAAUGGUUGGUACAACGAGUUGCGAGUCGGUGACGGCGAGCUAAUCUCUUAAAGCCAAUCUCAGUUCGGAUUGUAGGCUGCAACUCGCCUACAUGAAGUCGGAAUCGCUAGUAAUCGCGGAUCAGCACGCCGCGGUGAAUACGUUCCCGGGCCUUGUACACACCGCCCGUCACACCACGAGAGUUUGUAACACCCGAAGUCGGUGAGGUAACCUUUUGGAGCCAGCCGCCUAAGGUGGGACAGAUGAUUGGGGUG
rnacentral:rRNA from 1 species